ACGGCCGUACCAUGCUGAAUAUACCGGUUCUCGUUAGAUCACCGAAGUCAAGCAUCAUUGGGCGCUGCCAGUACUUGGGUGGGUGACCACCUGGGAACACUGCGUGCCGUU